rnacentral:rRNA from 1 species
GGAUUGCCUCAGUAACGGCGAGUGAAGCGGCAAGAGCUCAAAUUUGAAAUCUGGCCCCCUCGGGGUCCGAGUUGUAAUUUGCAGAGGAUGCUUCGGGUGCGGCCCCCGUCUAAGUGCCCUGGAACGGGCCGUCAUAGAGGGUGAGAAUCCCGUCUGGGACGGGGUGUCCGCGUCCGUGUGAAGCUCCUUCGACGAGUCGAGUUGUUUGGGAAUGCAGCUCUAAAUGGGUGGUAAAUUUCAUCUAAAGCUAAAUACUGGCCGGAGACCGAUAGCGCACAAGUAGAGUGAUCGAAAGAUGAAAAGCACUUUGAAAAGAGAGUUAAAAAGCACGUGAAAUUGUUGAAAGGGAAGCGCUUGCGACCAGACUCGCCCGCGGGGUUCAGCCGGCAUUCGUGCCGGUGUACUUCCCCGCGGGCGGGCCAGCGUCGGUUUGGGCGGCCGGUCAAAGGCCCCCGGAAUGUAGCACCCUUCGGGGUGCCUUAUAGCCGGGGGUGCAAUGCGGCCAGCCUGGACCGAGGAACGCGCUUCGGCACGGACGCUGGCAUAAUGGUCGUAAACGACCCGUCUUGAAACACGGACCAAGGAGUCUAACAUCUACGCGAGUGUUCGGGUGUCAAACCCGUGCGCGCAGUGAAAGCGAACGGAGGUGGGAGCCCCCCCGCGGGGCGCACCAUCGACCGAUCNGAUGUCUCGGAUGAUUGAGUAGAGCGUAAUGUGGGACCGAAGAUGUGACUAUGCUGAAAGGCGAGCAGAGGAACUCUGGUGAGGCUGCAGCGGUCUGACG